ACGCUGGCGGCGUGCUUAACACAUGCAAGUCGAACGAUGAAGCCUAGCUUGCUAGGUGGAUUAGUGGCGAACGGGUGAGUAAUACGUGAGUAACCUACCUUUAACUCUGGGAUAAGCCUGGGAAACUGGGUCUAAUACCGGAUACGACCAAUCUCCGCAUGGGGUGUUGGUGGAAAGCGUUAUGUAGUGGUUAUAGAUGGGCUCACGGCCUAUCAGCUUGUUGGUGAGGUAACGGCUCACCAAGGCGACGACGGGUAGCCGGCCUGAGAGGGUGACCGGCCACACUGGGACUGAGACACGGCCCAGACUCCUACGGGAGGCAGCAGUGGGGAAUAUUGCACAAUGGGCGCAAGCCUGAUGCAGCGACGCCGCGUGAGGGAUGACGGCCUUCGGGUUGUAAACCUCUGUUAGCAGGGAAGAAGAGAGAUUGACGGUACCUGCAGAGAAAGCGCCGGCUAACUACGUGCCAGCAGCCGCGGUAAUACGUAGGGCGCGAGCGUUGUCCGGAAUUAUUGGGCGUAAAGAGCUUGUAGGCGGUUUGUCGCGUCUGCUGUGAAAGGCCGGAGCUUAACUCCGUGUAUUGCAGUGGGUACGGGCAGACUAGAGUGCAGUAGGGGAGACUGGAAUUCCUGGUGUAGCGGUGGAAUGCGCAGAUAUCAGGAGGAACACCGAUGGCGAAGGCAGGUCUCUGGGCUGUAACUGACGCUGAGAAGCGAAAGCAUGGGGAGCGAACAGGAUUAGAUACCCUGGUAGUCCAUGCCGUAAACGUUGGGCACUAGGUGUGGGGGACAUUCCACGUUUUCCGCGCCGUAGCUAACGCAUUAAGUGCCCCGCCUGGGGAGUACGGCCGCAAGGCUAAAACUCAAAGAAAUUGACGGGGGCCCGCACAAGCGGCGGAGCAUGCGGA
rnacentral:rRNA from 1 species